rnacentral:rRNA from 1 species
CCUACGGGAGGCAGCAGUGAGGAAUAUUGGUCAAUGGGCGAGAGCCUGAACCAGCCAAGUAGCGUGCAGGAUGACGGCCCUAUGGGUUGUAAACUGCUUUUAUAAGGGAAUAAAGUGAGUCUCGUGAGACUUUUUGCAUGUACCUUAUGAAUAAGGACCGGCUAAUUCCGUGCCAGCAGC